CAAUCCCUCAGCUCGCUUUCGCUCUCAAACCAAUCUUCUCCCUCGCUCUCGCACACAACAGAAAUUUUUGAAUUGAAAACCCAAUCCAACAUCAAUCUCUUCUAAUCCAACAUCAAACUGAAAACCCAGAAAAAUCCCACCCAUCUCGCCUAGCAAACAUAGAAAACCUCAUUCCAGCCAAAGCAUCUCAGUCUCAAUCUGUAUCUUGUUCUCAAUCUCAAUCUGUAUCGUGUUGCUGGAGGCCGCGCAGGCAGUUUGGGCGGAGGCUAGGUGGUUUAGACGGAGGAUACGCGGAGUGGCUUGGGCGCUGCAAUUUGUUUUCUAUGCUCGUCAAAACGGAGGAUUGUUUUAAAGCAUCGUGGAGCUCGGAUAAAUCGAUACAUUUAAAGGCCAAGCAAUCCAAUGGGACGGAAAAUCCAGAGAACGAAGGCUAGCUAUAUUGCAUGAAGAAAGGAUAGGGUCAAACUCCGAAACUUCCUUAUUUUGAUUGGACUGGGACAUUGAGACCGUAUCCUAUAUCUAGUAAGCGUGUGGCACCUGCUCAUAUUGAUCUACCUGAUUGGGCAGCUGAUGUAAGUUUUGGAAUCAUUUCUAUGUAUUCCUCAUGGCCAAUUUGCAUAGAUGCAUUGCAUCUUUUGCUGAUUUAAUUGGGAGUUAGAUGCCGCAUCGUGUUGCUACUUCUAGAUGCAAAUAUGCCAUCAUAGUUUAGGUAUAGGUUGAUGUGCUAUCAAGUUAGACUUUCUGCUUUCUACGUUUUCCUUUUUUUAAUUUCCAAAUCAUUAAUGAUAUAUUAAUUUUGAAGCUCAAGACUUCAGAUCAAAUUGAGAGGAUGUGAGAAACUUGUCCAGUAAGUUCCAAUUGCAUAUUUCUUAUUUUCUUUUGUUAUAUUUAGUUCUGAUCAACUAGUGUUAUCUUGUUACUUAUUUUCUUUUUAACUUGCUGCCAGUGCCUUUUCACUUUAUCUUGUAGACCUUAAACAAAUGAAAAUUUUGAUGAUGAUUUGACUCUUUCAUUGAAGGAGUUUCUCUCUUCAAAGGUUUAGUUAUUCUUUCUAUUACAUCAGACCUCAUGUCUUAACAAUAGAUGAUGGAUCUUAAUAGUUGCCAUCUAUAGUUGACGGAUCUUAAUUCAUAAGGGUGGGAACAUUGAAUUUGGAUUUUAAUAUCUUAAAAAGACUUUGUCACUUUGUAGUUCCUAUGCCUGUUCGAUCAUAUUCCUAGUCAAAUAGGUUAUUUAGUUUCUUGUAAGUUGUUCACGCUGCAGGUGGAAUAUUUGGCUAAUAAUUUAGUGCUUUCCCAUGUUAAUAAAUUGUUUACAUGUGACAUGUUUCUCUGAUAUUAACUGGUAAAAUGUAUUGUGCUUUUUAUCAUCUUACUAUUUAUGAAAGAAUCAGUGCAUUCAAUGUAACUAUGCUUGAAGCAAAACUCAGAAACUAUGUUGUCAUUCUGAGAAAGUAUGAAUUAAAAGAUGUUGAUUUGGAUAUUUUAUUGUGUAUGUAGAAUGAAAUGAGGUUUUCAUGCAUGGAGGGGUACACAAAUCUCCCUUAUAUAUUACCACGGUUCUCAU